GACUAAGCGUACACGGUGGAUGCCCUGGCAGUCAGAGGCGAUGAAGGACGUGCUAAUCUGCGAUAAGCGUACGGUAAGGUGAUAUGAACCGUUAUAACCGGCGAUUUCCGAAUGGGGAAACCCAGUGUGUUUCGACACACUAUCAUUAACUGAAUCCAUAGGUUAAUGAGGCGAACCGGGGGAACUGAAACAUCUAAGUACCCCGAGGAAAAGAAAUCAACCGAGAUUCCCCCAGUAGCGGCGAGCGAACGGGGAGCAGCCCAGAGCCUGAAUCAGUGUGUGUGUUAGUGGAAGCGUCUGGAAAGGCGUGCGAUACAGGGUGACAGCCCCGUACACAAAAAUGCACAUGCUGUGAGCUCGAUGAGUAGGGCGGGACACGUGGUAUCCUGUCUGAAUAUGGGGGGACCAUCCUCCAAGGCUAAAUACUCCUGACUGACCGAUAGUGAACCAGUACCGUGAGGGAAAGGCGAAAAGAACCCCGGCGAGGGGAGUGAAAAAGAACCUGAAACCGUGUACGUACAAGCAGUGGGAGCCUCUUUAUGGGGUGACUGCGUACCUUUUGUAUAAUGGGUCAGCGACUUAUAUUCUGU
rnacentral:rRNA from 1 species